rnacentral:rRNA from 1 species
GACGAACGCUGGCGGCGUGCUUAACACAUGCAAGUCGAACGGUAAGGCCCUUCGGGGUACACGAGUGGCGAACGGGUGAGUAACACGUGGGUGAUCUGCCCUGCACUUCGGGAUAAGCCUGGGAAACUGGGUCUAAUACCGGAUAGGACCACUGCCUGCAUGGGUGGUGGUGGAAAGCUUUUGCGGUGUGGGAUGGGCCCGCGGCCUAUCAGCUUGUUGGUGGGGUGGUGGCCUACCAAGGCGACGACGGGUAGCCGGCCUGAGAGGGUGACCGGCCACACUGGGAAUGAGAUACGGCCCAGACUACUACGGGAGGCAGGAGUGGGGAAUAUUGCACAAUGGGCGCAAGCCUGAUGCAGCGACGCCGCGUGAGGGAUGACGGCCGUCGGGUUGUAAACCUCUUUCAGCACCGACGAAGCGCAAGUGACGGUAGGUGCAGAAGAAGGACCGGCCAACUACGUGCCAGCCGCCGCGGUAA